GUGGAGAGGGCUCAGUGGUUAAGAGCAUUGGUGCCUCUUUCAAAGGACCUGGGUUCAAUUCCCAGUACCCACA
rnacentral:tRNA from 1 species